rnacentral:lncRNA from 1 species
AGAGGGAGUGUGGAUCUGGGGGAGAGGGAAGGUGGGGGUGGGAGACACUGGGGGGAAGGAGAGAAAGGGGAAACUGAGGUUGGGAUGUACAAUAUGGGAGAAGAGUGAAAAAGAAAGAAAAAUAAGUUUAGGAAAGUUUAGUUUCUUCCAUUAUGAACCUAUCAGUCACCAUUAAGCCAAAUUACUAUACCAGACAUGAUGAGAGGUGUCAGACACAUCUGGUUUUCCUGAUAGUGAUUAAGGUCUGGACUCAAAGCUCUUGCCUGAGCUGUUUGCUUUUCCAUCAGUAACACACAGAUUGUUGAGCUGUUUAAUGAGUCUUAUUAAGUAGCAAAUGGUUACAGAUUAUAAAAAAAAUUAUUUUAAAGAAUAAAAAUGUGUGGCUGUGCCAUGAUAUGGAAUAUUAGCAUUUCCAUCUUGUAGGCAGCUUCAUGAAAGUUAAUUUAUAGUUUUUAAUCUGAUAACUGUUAGUUGAGCACCUAUUACAUUACUGGAAUUAUUUUGAAUUUGUGGCAUGGAAUGAUGCAAAAAAAAAAUCUGGUUCCUGUAAGUUUCCAUACAGGAAUAGGGACAGACGAUUUCAAAAGCCUACAGUGAAUUUCAGAUAGUGGUUUGUAACAGUGACCUAAGAUGAUAUAACCACGGGAAUUGCCUGUUGGGGCUCUGCCAGGGAAGGUCCUCAUUCUGAGAACUGGAUGUUUGAGACAAGUUAAUAUUUCUAGGAAGUAUUUUUUUCUGAGUAGAGUGAACAGUGUGUAGAAAGUCCCGGAGGCAGAAAAAUUUUUAAUUGGUACAAGGAACAAAAAUGAGAGCCAUAUGGUAAGCUGGCAUGUAAGGGGGUGAUGUUUAUAGGUGAUGGGAUUAUAGGCUAUGGGGACAAGACACUGAUCUCAGGCAGAAGGGAAUUAAUAAUGAGUAUGAAAAGGCUGCAGGUAGUAAUCAAUACUGACUUAAGCCUAUGGCAUGGAUUUUAUGGUCUGAUCAGGAGAUGCAAUGUUCCUGUGUGUUCUGUGGAGCUCUUGCUGUAGGUGUGAGAUAGACAGGUGAGAGUAAUCAACUAACUGUCCUUUCCAUGGGGUAUGGUGGUGGAAAUGAGGUUCAGAGAAGGUAGAUGUGUUUGUGGGACAGUCGUAGUGAUGACUCAUACAAUCUAGGAUUAUGCCUAAGGCCGUUGAGUUGGCGAGGAAAGGAGCUAUGACCUGUGACGAUGUGAAUGCUGAAUGUUAUCCUGAGAUGCUAGCUAUGACCUGUGAUGAUGAGAAUGCUGAAUGCUAUCCUAAGAUGCUCCUUCCUGGACCGAUGAGACUGGAGGCAGUUGGUCCACCUCGUAUGCUCCUAUCCCGAGGCAGAGUGACACAGGUGGCACUCUGGAGUAGGGCAAACCACCAGGAACUGUAGUGGGUAGACAAUAAGGUUUCAAGAAGGUGGCAGUGGCUGUGAUGACUGAGGUAUGAUUGGCUUGUACCAGAUAAUUCUGUCAGCUCACUGGGACCCAACACCUGCUCAGCAGAAGAAAGCAGGAGCUGUCUCUAUGGUUCACAAUACUGAGGGUUGUUUGACUGGAGAGUUUAACCUGUAGGAGUAGAGUCAGAAGGGGAGCAAUGUGCAGAGGCCAUUCAGGGAUCUCUAGGGUGUUUCCAGAUGUCAGGGAAGCACAUAAUAUUGAACUUUGAUAUCUGGCCUUCCCUGCAGCUAAGAAGCUGGCAUCGAAGUUGUUAGAAGAGUUAUUGGAAUGGGACUAACAGGAGAUGGUUGCCAGAGAAGGAUCCUGAAACUGUUAUCACAGCUAUACAAGGUCAAAUGAAGGGCAUAACCUUGGCAUGAAGAGGAAUUGGUAGAGGAGGGCUGAGCUACGGUCGAUGACCUUGGAGACAGAAUGCUGGUGAUAGAAUAGUGAAGCACAGCGCAGUGUUUAACUUGUCCGGACAUAGAAAACAGGGUUUCGUCAGCUAGUUAAGGCUAAACAAAGAACGUCCGAAAUAAAACAAAAGGUCGUGGUAUGUUUUAAGACUCUUUAAAAACCUUCAAUUACCCAGAAUAAACCACCUGGUCUCAGGCUGACAAGAAGGUCGGGCAACUGCAGCUGCUAAAAGCCAAACUCAGUGUAUUGGCUAGGUGCUAAUAUGCCUUUAUUGGGGUCUAUAACUUCAAAAUUAAGUUUUCAGAACCUGGGCAGAUUGAAUGUCAUUGACUUCUCUCGUCUUUGAGGAUGAGAUAUUAGAAGCCUGUGAAUUCUGACAGCUGUUUAAAAGUGGAGUUCCUGGAUUUCACGACAUUUUGUUAACAAUGUGUAAAGAUCGGCCCUAAAGCCAAUCUGUGCCGGGCUGCUUUGGCUGGGACAUCCCAGGCAAAGGUUUUAAGCAUAUGCUCAUUAUAGAACCCACGGGUAGCAAGCGUAAAGAAGCAAUGCUGUUCUUGUCUACAACCUGUUGUGGUUAACGGAGUUCCUUCCUUGCUGGGACCCUAGGAAGAAUGGCUUUCUUUACUGGAGACACACUGUGGGCUUUGGUAAUAAGAGGAAAACUAAGAGAAGAGGCUUUGUUAAGACCUUAGUGAAAUUCUUCUCCCCUCUUUCUUUUUAUUUUAGAUGUACCCAUUCUAGACCCCCCAAAGACUACCGUCCACCAGCAGCCAUCCUUCCACGAUUUUCUGUGGCCAGUUUAGACUGAGCUAGAGCAGGCUCACUGUAUGCCUGUCUAAUGAGGAAAUGGUCACAGGGAUGUUGAUGGCAGUCAGACCCCUUCACCACUGUCGGCCUUCUCUGCUUGGUGACAAAGACUCUGGGCUGUGUCUGUAGCACACGUGUUCCUCUGAUGGCCUCAUUUAGGAUACUGUUGAAAUAAAGCUUGCUACAGCAAUGCCCAAUGGCACGACUCAUAAUUAGUCUGAAUAACAUUUUCCAUUUUAAACCCUGAUUUUUUUUAUGGGAUUUACUGCUUGGCCCAUAAAAUCUCGUUCUAAACCGAGACCUGGCAUAAUUUUUAGCAUAAGCAAAUAUACCGUAGCUAUAAAUCACGAGCUCCAGUCUUGACCCUAGAAGGUGAAGAGCAAGCUCACGUGAACCAAGGCAGAGGCAACAGGCUUGGGUGAGUGGCACAGGGUCUUUGAUGUCGCUAGUGUUGCUCCCACGCUGCCCAACAUCAGCAGCCAACUUGGAACAGGGCAGUGCCAUGAUGAUUCAGAGAACGGACUCCCAAGGAACACGCAUCUUUUUGGACUUGUGCAUGCGUACACAGGUGUGCCUAGAUCAUGAACCGAUUAAUGACUUUCUAGAGAAGACAAGAAUGGCGUGAAUUAGGGCACCUUUCCCUUUUGGACUUGAUAUGGCAUGAUAUGAGGCUCUCUGAAUAAAGUUCUUAAGGAGGGAUGGUAUGUUUUGUGAUCAAACAUGCCUGGUUGGAAUUCCAGCACCUGUUUUUAUGUCCUCCGGGUCCUUCCAUCACUGAAAGACACUGGCCGUCAGCCACCAGAGUAAACAUUCUUAUUUCAAGUCCUUUACCCAGGGUCAGAUUUUGCCCUGUGCUGCAGUGGCUCUUCAAGCAGGUCCCCCGAGCAGCACCUGUUGCUCUGCAGCUCAUUACAAAUGGAUACUGGGACCAUUCCCAGGCUCCGCUGAACUGGAAACGGUGGAAUGAUGCCCAGAAAUCUGUCUCUUAAUCACUGAUUCCGAUGACUGCCACAGUUAAGAACCACUGGUGCGGUGGCUUGGACGAAGUGCCCUGAGAUCACAGAGACUUUUGCCGCAGCUCAGAUCUUGAAUGACUGACUCCCAACUCCUUUGUGUUCAAGGCAUGCCCUCAGCCUUUAGUGCUAUUGGGGGUGGUAGAAAUUUUACGACAUGGGCCAUGUGGAAGGAAGUUAGGUCACAGAGACACUGAAAUCCUAUUCUUUCUCCUCCCUGCUCCUGGCUUCCUAGUUGCUCAUCGUGAGUAGCAAUCGUGCACCCCCAUGCUCUUGUCCUGAAGUACUGCUGCACAUUACAUAAAACCAACACAGGCUGUGCACACACAACCCGGCUCUAUCGCUGGGCUCUCUAAUCUUUGGCACUCUUUAACCUCCCUGACCCUCAGUUGCUUUAGUUAUAAAAUGGACACAAUAAUAAAGAAUGUGAAAAUAAGCACCUUAUAGAGUUUCUAAAAUUUAUUUAUUUACUUAUUAUUUUUUUGAGCCAGG